UGGUCCACUGACGUCUGCCAGCUUAAUGCACAUCUGACACACCAGCAAUCGGUCAUUCUCAUUGGUCCAAUCAAUACCGGACACUCCCUCAUCACCCACCUGAGGAGAUGUAGAAACAGAGUGGCUGAUGGAGGUGAAGACAUGGAUUUGUUGAUGGAUUUACUGGGCAGUUGUGCACUGAAUGACCGUGUUGUCGAAUUCUAUUAACAAGUAAAGGAAGACAGACUUUCUCCAAGUGAGCGGCAGCUUUGGAUGUUGGAUCUCAUCCCAGUGCACACUGGCCAGACAGCUGGAAUAGACUUCAGCAGCAUGAAGACGGACGUCUAUUACAUUUACACCUUUGACGAAUGUAGUUUCUGGUGACUUUGCAGAGGUUUUUUUUUUUUAAGACAGUGUUUUUAUGCAUUGUAAGUGAAUGG